rnacentral:rRNA from 1 species
UACGAAGGGGGCUAGCGUUGCUCGGAAUCACUGGGCGUAAAGCGCACGUAGGCGGACUCUUAAGUCGGUGGUGAAAUCCUGGAGCUCAACUCCAGAACUGCCUUCGAUACUGAGAGGCUCGAGUCCGAGAGAGGGGAGUGGAACUGCGAGUGUAGAGGUGAAAUUCGUAGAUAUUCGCAAGAACACCAGUGGCGAAGGCGGCUCACUGGCUCGGUACUGACGCUGAGGUGCGAAAGCGUGGGGAGCAAACAGG